rnacentral:rRNA from 1 species
UUCACUGAAACAAGGGGAAGACUCACAUAGAGGCAGCAGUAGAGAAUCUUGUGCAAUAAACGAAAGUAUGACACAGAGAGGACACAUUWAAUUGRGCCYGUCAAAUUAAGUGCMARSCGACGCGGUUAAACUUAAGGGCUGGUCUUUAUAAGUAAAAAGGCGUAAAGGAUGUGUAGGCCAAGAAACGAUCCAAGUAGGUAAAUGGAAUUUUUCUGGAGCGGUAGAAUGUGAGGAUAGAAAAUAGAACCCCUAAGGUAAAAACUAUUUACUACAAGGUAGGCUGAAACAUGAGAGUGUGGGGAGCAAACAGGAUUAGAGACCCUGGUAGUCCACACUGUAAACUUUGAAGAUGAUGCUUAGCAGACCCGAAAGGUAAAAUCUUCCGCCUGAGUAGUACGAUCGCAAGAUUAAAAUUCAAAAACUUUGGCUGUUCACUAUUUCGAUUAGAGGAGCGUGUAGUUUAAUUCGAUGGUCCGCGUGUUACCUUACCCCAACUUGAAUCUGUGACCGGUAUUGCAUGGCCGUCGUAAGUUCGUGUAUUAAGCUAGAAGGGACCCAACCCGGGCAUUUGCCCGGAGGAAGUCAGGUCUUAUGAUCCGAAUGUUGGGGGAUUUUAUGCGCUACAUUUUCUUAUAUAAUGAGAAACCUGGAAGGUGAGUCUCUAAAGUAAGAGUUCGGAAGGUCGCUGUAAGACGACUGGAAGUUGGAUUUAAUAGUAAUCGGAAAGUAGGGCGUUCCGGUGAAUUGGUACAAGUGUUAGCACAAAUUGCCCGUCACCUUUACUUAGAAUGGUUAUUCGGAUGUCUUCGGUGAUUAUGAAUGCCUAC